AGAAGCUUAGGAUAAUCUAAAACCGAGGGCCUUCAAAGCCUUAAAUAAGAGUUAAAUUCUCUUAGUUUCUG
rnacentral:tRNA from 1 species